rnacentral:rRNA from 1 species
GACAGAGGGGGCAAGCGUUGCUCGGAAUUACUGGGCGUAAAGGGCGCGUAGGCGGGAUGGCAAGUCGGUCGUGAAAUCCCUCGGCUCAACUGAGGAUCGUCGAUCGAUACUGCCGUUCUUGAGGAUUGCAGAGGAGACUGGAAUUCCCGGUGUAGCGGUGAAAUGUGUAGAGAGUCGGGAGGAACACCGGUGGCGAAGGCGGGUCUCUGGGCAAUUCCUGACACUGAGGCACGAAGGCCAGGGGAGCAAACGGG